AGAUUGAACGCUAGCGGGAUGCUUUACACAUGCAAGUCGAACGGCAGCGCGGACUUCGGUCUGGCGGCGAGUGGCGAACGGGUGAGUAAUAUAUCGGAACGUGCCCAGUAGCGGGGGAUAACUACGCGAAAGCGUGGCUAAUACCGCAUACGCCCUACGGGGGAAAGGGGGGGAUCGCAAGACCUCUCACUAUUGGAGCGGCCGAUAUCAGAUUAGCUAGUUGGUGAGGUAAAGGCUCACCAAGGCGACGAUCUGUAGCUGGUUUGAGAGGACGACCAGCCACACUGGGACUGAGACACGGCCCAGACUCCUACGGGAGGCAGCAGUGGGGAAUUUGGACAAUGGGGGAAACCCUGAUCCAGCCAUCCCGCGUGUGCGAUGAAGGCCUUCGGGUUGGUAAAGCGUACUUUUGGCGAGGAAGAACGGACGUUGACUAAUAUUCAGCGUCACUGACGUACCGU
rnacentral:rRNA from 1 species